rnacentral:rRNA from 1 species
UACGUAGGGUGCGAGCGUUAUCCGGAUUCACUGGGUUUAAAGGGUGCGUAGGCGGGCAGGUAAGUCAGUGGUGAAAUCUCCGAGCUUAACUCGGAACUGCCGUUGAUACUAUUUGUCUUGAAUAUUGUGGAGGUAAGCGGAAUAUGUCAUGUAGCGGUGAAAUGCUUAGAUAUGACAUAGAACACCAAUUGCGAAGGCAGCUUACUACACAAUGAUUGACGCUGAGGCACGAAAGCGUGGGGAUCAAACAGG